GUUCGGAUCGCAGCCUGCAACCCGGCUGCGUGAAGCUGGAAUCGCUAGUAAUCGCGGAUCAGAAUGCCGCGGUGAAUACGUUCCCGGGUCUUGUACACACCGCCCGUCACACCAUGGGAGCCGGAAACGCCCGAAGCCAGUGGCCUGACCGCGAGGAGGGAGCUGUCGAAGGCGGGUCCGGUGACCGGGGUGAAGUCGUAACAAGGUAGC
rnacentral:rRNA from 1 species